rnacentral:rRNA from 1 species
UACGUAGGUGGCAAGCGUGGUCCGGAUGUACUGGGCGUAAAGAGCGCGCAGGCGGUCGUGCAAGGCGCGUGGGAAAGCCCCCGGCUCAACUGGGGAGGGUCACGCGAUACUGAUCGACUGGAAGGCAGGAGAGGGUAGUGGAAUUCCCGGUGUAGUGGUGAAAUGCGUAGAUAUCGGGAGGAACACCAGUGGCGAAGGCGACUACCUGGCCUGUUCUUGACGCUGAGGCGCGAAAGCUAGGGGAGCAAACGGG